CAGUCGCCGCGGUAAUACAGAGGGUGCAAGCGUUAAUCGGAUUUACUGGGCGUAAAGCGUGCGUAGGCGGCUUUUUAAGUCGGAUGUGAAAUCCCUGAGCUUAACUUAGGAAUUGCAUUCGAUACUGGGAAGCUAGAGUAUGGGAGAGGAUGGUAGAAUUCCAGGUGUAGCGGUGAAAUGCGUAGAGAUCUGGAGGAAUACCGAUGGCGAAGGCAGCCAUCUGGCCUAAUACUGACGCUGAGGUACGAAAGCAUGGGGAGCAAACAGGAUUAGAUACCCGUGUAGUCCCUGUCUCUUAUAC
rnacentral:rRNA from 1 species